GGAAGUGUCGCAUAGUGGCAAUUGCAAGUGACUGUAAAUCACUCGUCUUAAAGACUUCGCAGGUUCGAGUCCUGCCACUUCCA
rnacentral:tRNA from 1 species